UACGUAGGGUGCGAGCGUUAAUCGGAAUUACUGGGCGUAAAGCGUGCGCAGGCGGUGAUGUAAGACAGAUGUGAAAUCCCCGGGCUCAACCUGGGAACUGCAUUUGUGACUGCAUAGCUAGAGUACGGUAGAGGGGGAUGGAAUUCCGCGUGUAGCAGUGAAAUGCGUAGAUAUGCGGAGGAACACCGAUGGCGAAGGCAAUCCCCUGGACCUGUACUGACGCUCAUGCACGAAAGCGUGGGGAGCAAACAGG
rnacentral:rRNA from 1 species